CUUUAUUUAGGCACCUAUGCCAAUUUUCUUUUAAUUAAGCAUAGUUCAACACUCCCUGCUUAUGACCUUUGCCUCUUUCUGAAGCUGCUUCUUCUAAGUUAGCUUUUUGCUGAAGCCUAGUUUUCUAGCAAAUCCAGAUUCCAAAAUAUAAUAUAGUGGAUGGUGGGGAGUUUAUGUCUGUGUUCUUUCUUGUAUUAUUCUCCUUUCUGGUUCUAGAAAAAUAGAUAAAUAUAUUUUUUCAGGAUAGACUAGGGUAUUUCCAAUUUCAUGUUGGCUGGAUGGAUGAGUGAGUGGAUUUUUGUAUGACUAGUUUUUUGUUUUUUUCCUCUUCCCUUUUCUUGCCCCAUUCUUGGUGCCUUCUCCUGACUGGGCUGAAAUGAUUGAGGGUUGAGCAUUCAAACGCUUUUUCUGCCUUCUUCCUGGGACUCGGCAGAAGGGAUUCUUGGAUUUGCUUUCUCUGAGCCACUCACACGUGGCUUGUUUAAAUCAGUUCAGUUUCCAUCAUGUGAAGGGAGAGAUAUCACCUCACAGUUGCAGUGACUGACCACACCGGAGAGCUCGGUGGCUCCCCUUCCUGGCCCUAGGAGAGGAGAGGAUUUCCACGGAUUGGGCACCUUGUGUCGGAGACCUACACUGGCAUAGUGACUCACGGCUUAGCUUUGCUGAGAAAACCCUUAUCUCCCUGGGCAAGGAAAAGGGACGGGAGCAGGGAG